rnacentral:rRNA from 1 species
GAUAAAUGCUGGCGGCGUGCCUAACACAUGCAAGUCGAGCGGUAACAGGAGUAGUUUACUACUUGCUGACGAGCGGCGGACGGCUGAGUAACGCGUGGGAACGUGCCCCAAAGUGAGGAAUAACUGCCCGAAAGGGUAGCUAAUACCGCAUAUGAUCUUCGGAUUAAAGGAUUUAUCCGCUUUGGGAGCGGCCCGCGUCGGAUUAGGUAGUUGGUGAGGUAAUGGCUCACCAAGCCCACGAUCCGUAGCUGGUCUGAGAGGAUGAUCAGCCAGACUGGAACUGAGACACGGUCCAGACUCCUACGGGAGGCAGCAGUGAGGAAUCUUCCACAAUGGGCGAAAGCCUGAUGGAGCAACGCCGCGUGCAGGAUGAAGGCCUUCGGGUCGUAAACUGCUUUUAUAAGUGAAGAAUAUGACGGUAGCUUAUGAAUAAGCACCGGCUAACUACGUGCCAGCCGCCGCAGUAAUAC